CAGCUCCUACGGGACGCAGCAGUGAGGAAUAUUGGUCAAUGGGCUUACGCCUGAACCAGCCACGUCGCGUGAGGGAAGACUGCCCUAUGGGUUGCAAACCUCUUUUGUCAGGGAGCAAUUGGCGCUACGUGUAGCGUUAUCGAGAGUACCUGAAGAAAAAGCAUCGGCUAACUCCGUGCCAGCAGCCGCGGUAAUACGGAGGAUGCGAGCGUUAUCCGGAUUUAUUGGGUUUAAAGGGUGCGUAGGCGGAAUGCCAAGUCAGCGGUCAAAUCGCGGGGCUCAACCUCGCUCCGCCGUUGCAACUG
rnacentral:rRNA from 1 species